GACAGAGGGUGCAAACGUUGUUCGGAAUUACUGGGCGUAAAGCGCAUGUAGGCGGCCUAGCAGGUCGGAUGUGAAAUCCCUCGGCUCAACCAAGGAAGUGCAUUCGAAACCGCAAGGCUCGAGUCCCGGAGAGGAUGGUGGAAUUCUCGGUGUAGAGGUGAAAUUCGUAGAUAUCGAGAGGAACACCGGCGGCGAAGGCGGCCAUCUGGACGAGGACUGACGCUGAGAUGCGAAAGCGUGGGGGAGCAAACAGG
rnacentral:rRNA from 1 species